AGUGAACGCUGGCGGUAGGCCUAACACAUGCAAGUCGAACGGCAGCACAGUAAGAGCUUGCUCUUACGGGUGGCGAGUGGCGGACGGGUGAGGAAUACAUCGGAAUCUACUUUUUCGUGGGGGAUAACGUAGGGAAACUUACGCUAAUACCGCAUACGACCUACGGGUGAAAGCAGGGGAUCUUCGGACCUUGCGCGAUUGAAUGAGCCGAUGUCGGAUUAGCUAGUUGGCGGGGUAAAGGCCCACCAAGGCGACGAUCCAUAGCUGGUCUGAGAGGAUGAUCAGCCACACUGGAACUGAGACACGGUCCAGACCCCUACGGGAGGCAGCAGUGGGGAAUAUUGGACAAUGGGCGCAAGCCUGAUCCAGCCAUACCGCGUGGGUGAAGAAGGCCUUCGGGUUGUAAAGCCCUUUUGUUGGGAAAGAAAAGCAGCAGGUUAAUACCCCGCUGUUCUGACGGUACCCAAAGAAUAAGCACCGGCUAACUUCGUG
rnacentral:rRNA from 1 species